rnacentral:rRNA from 1 species
UGGGGAAUAUUGGACAAUGGGCGGAAGCCUGAUCCAGCAACGCCGCGUGAGGGAUGACGGCCUUCGGGUUGUAAACCUCUUUCAGCACAGACGAAGCGAAAGUGACGGUAUGUGCAGAAGAAGCACCGGCCAACUACGUGCCAGCAGCCGCGGUAAUACGUAGGGUGCGAGCGUUGUCCGGAGUUAUUGGGCGUAAAGGGCUCGUAGGCGGUUUGUCGCGUCGGGAGUGAAAACACACAGCUUAACUGUGUGCUUGCUUCCAAUACGGGCAGACUAGAGGUAUGCAGGGGAGAACGGAAUUCCUGGUGAAGCGGUGAAAUGCGCAGAUAUCAGGAGGAACACCGGUGGCGAAGGCGGUUCUCUGGGCAUUACCUGACGCUGAGGAGCGAAAGUGUGGGGAGCGAACAGG